CCCGCUGAACUUAAGCAUAUUAUUAAGCGGAGGAAAAGAAACUAAAAAGGAUGUCCUUAGUAGUGGCGAAUGAAUAGGACAAAGCUCAAAAUUAAAAUCUAGUCUAUUUAAUAGAUUCGAAUUGUAGUUUUUCGAUCGCUUAUUACAGAAAUAUUAUUGGAAUGUAAAUUCUUUGGAAUAAGAUAUCAGAGAGGGUGAGAAUCCCGUAUUUAAUUUCAAUUAUAUUUUAAACGUAUUAGGUGAUUGAUGAGUCGAGUUGUUUGGGAAUGCAGCUCAAAAUGGGUGGUAAAUUUCAUCUAAAGCUAAAUAUUGGCCAGAGACCGAUAGCGCACAAGUAGAGUGAUCGAAAGAUGAAAAGCACUUUGGAAAGAGAGUUAAACAGUACGUGAAAUUGUUGAAAGGGAAGCGCUUGCAACCAGACUUGCACGUAGUUAAUCAUCCGGGGUUCUCCCCGGUGCACUUGGCUACGUUCAGGCCAGCAUCGGUUUCGGUGGUUGGAUAAAGGCCUAGGGAAUGUGGCUCUCUUCGGGGAGUGUUAUAGCCCUAGGUGCAAUGCAGCCCACUGGGACCGAGGACCGCGCUUCGGCUAGGAUGCUGGCGUAAUGGUUGUAAGCGACCCGUCUUGAAACACGG
rnacentral:rRNA from 1 species